AUCGCUUCUCGGCCUUUUGGCUAAGAUCAAGUGUAGUAUCAACUCAUGGUGGAUCUCUACAGACACUGACAUUGAAGAAAAGACAUCGAGGGCUCUUCGCGAUCAAGCAGCUGCCUGAUGAGAGCUUAACCUGCUGACACAGAGGAGGAUCCUAAUGCUGAUUGAGAAACCAGUCUAACUCCUCUGUUCGGCAACGACCA